rnacentral:rRNA from 1 species
AUUGAACGCUGGCGGCAUGCUUUACACAUGCAAGUCGAACGGUAACAGGCCGCAAGGUGCUGACGAGUGGCGAACGGGUGAGUAAUGCAUCGGAACGUGCCCAGUCGUGGGGGAUAACGCAGCGAAAGCUGCGCUAAUACCGCAUACGAUCUCUGGAUGAAAGCGGGGGACCGAAAGGCCUCGCGCGAUUGGAGCGGCCGAUGUCAGAUUAGGUAGUUGGCGGGGUAAAGGCCCACCAAGCCAACGAUCUGUAGCUGGUCUGAGAGGACGACCAGCCAAACUGGGACUGAGACACGGCCCAGACUCCUACGGGAGGCAGCAGUGGGGAAUUUUGGACAAUGGGCGCAAGCCUGAUCCAGCAAUGCCGCGUGCAGGAAGAAGGCCUUCGGGUUGUAAACUGCUUUUGUACGGAACGAAACGGUCCGGGUUAAUACCCUGGGCUAAUGACGGUACCGUAAGAAUAAGCACCGGCUAACUACGUGCCAGCCGCCGCCGUAAAAC